GACAGAGGAUGCAAGCGUUAGGCGGAAUCACUGGGCUUAAAGCGUGUGUAGGCGGAUCGUUAAGUGCCUUGUGAAAUCCCACGGCUUAACUGUGGAACGGCUGGGCAUACUGGCGGUCUUGAGCCAUCUAGGGGCGACUGGAACAAACGGUGGAGCGGUGAAAUGCGUAGAUAUCGUUUGGAACGCCAAUGGUGAAAACAGGUCGCUGGGGAUGUGCUGACGCUGAGACACGAAAGCCAGGGGAGCAAACGGG
rnacentral:rRNA from 1 species